GGAGACGUCGGGAUUCUGGCAGCCUUUCUGCGGCACCCCUCGAGGGAGCGUGACACGCGGGAACGCGGCAGCCGAGCACCGGCGACGCCCCGUAAUGGAAUGUUGUAAAGCUAACCCCACGCGCUAAACCCACGCAAGACCGAAAGCGCGAUCCGUUUGGUGAGAGGAGGCGCACACCAGCUCCUGCGUCCCGGUGACCAGAGCGGCGCGGAGUUUCUUCGCGUGCUUGCUGGACUCCUCCCUGUUUCUCCCCCCAUGUGCAGAUAAGGAGGAUCCAAAGAGUGCUGGUUGAUAGUAGGGCCCCGACACAUGUGCCGUAAAGGAUCUCCAGAGCUCAGGGAUAUUUGGACGAAGUCAUAAAAUGGAUCUGCAGUAGUUCUGCACUAGUGGGUGCCGGAACACCCGAGCUGAGCCAGUGAAGCCCCACUGCAGGACCAUGUCUUGGUCAACAACUGAAGACCUCUGUGGGUGUAAGUACAGGUGGCACCGGGGAACUCUCAGCCCACGAAGUCUUCAGCAUGGCUCCCUGCUGGAAUGGGCCGGGUGGUGUUCCACCCUCAGCAGAGCUGCAGAUGUGUGAAAUCACAUGGUCAAGGGGGAAAAAAAGCCAAAAGAGGAAGCGUGAAAUAAUUGACCAUGGUGCCACUUUUUUGUUUAAGGAAAUAAAUACUGCUUUGAUA